rnacentral:pre_miRNA from 11 species
CCUACGUUUUCUGAACUCUCUCCCUCAAAGGCUUGAUACAUAACUUCUAAGUAUGUUGAUCAUUUAGCUAGAAGGAUAUAGGGCCUUUGAGGGGCGGGGUUCAAAAAUUGUUGG